rnacentral:lncRNA from 1 species
AUGCUGCAUAAGGUAAUUAGGCACUUAACAGAUCACAAGGUUUUGAUGCUGAUGACUGGGCAUAUAACUGUGUCCCUGUGCUGUGCUCCUCCAUUGCUGUUGCUCUGGCACUGCAUCCACCUUGAAAGCUCCCAGCAUCUCCCAGGCUCUCCCAGCAUCUCCCAGGCUCUCCCAGCAUGCCAGCUUUUCUUUGCCAGCUUUCGUGGAGCAGCGUCAGAAGCAUGCUGCCUAGCACGGGACAUCAGCUGGUUAAACACAGCUGGGAGAAGGUGCAAACUGCAAGGUAGGGUGCCGGCAGUCAUCAUGCUGCCUAGCACGGGACAUCAGCUGGUUAAACACAGCUGGGAGAAGGUGCAAACUGCAAGGUAGGGUGCCGGCAGUCAUCAUGUUGCUGAUCAAUAGCUGCUGAUUUCUCAGGGAUACAGAGCUCAAAACUCAAUUGAUGGAAUAUGACAUUAAUGGGGGAGGAGGGAGUCAAAAUGAGAGGACACUUAAAAACAAAAAAAACAUCUACAAGUGAUUCCUCUAUGCAGAAUGCUCUAAGUUAUUUUUUCUACUAAGAGUAACUCAUCUUCCUUCCUCCCUCAGUAGCAAUGAACUAACAUCGUUCAAUUCUUCAGGCAAACCCGUGAGGCUUGUCUUUGUUGGUUCAUAUUUUAAAAGUGCCAGCUGCAGGAUUUGCCUUGGCCCUUGCAAGCUCGUUUUUCUGUGUCCACUGAGUCACACUUCUUUGUGCAAACUCCCUGCAGAAUACCACCCUUUGCCAUGGAGGUGUGUUGGUAACAGCCCUUUUGUAGCUUGGUGGAAAUGGAGUGAAUCCCUGAAUAAGCCUGAACAUUCAUACUAAGGAUUUGAUAACUAAGGAUUUGAUCCUUCAUCUUUAAAUGGGAAGGAAAUGCUCAGGUUCAGCACCCUGCAGCUGAGAGUAAAUCCUCCUAGGAAAUUGAAAAGGAGAAAAGAAGUUAUUGCAAAAGCAGCUUGUAGUAGUCAGGCAUUGAUAUAUUGAAAUAUACUGAUUUCAGAUAUUUUAGAGAAAUACAAAGAUGUGCCUACUGGCUGCUUUGACAUGGUGCAUAUUUGCGAGAAGUGGGUUUUGAAAGCUGGGGAUCAGGAUAGCUACAGUGCCAAAGAAGUGCUGGAUCUAAAAAAUGUUCAUGUGCUACAGUUUGUGUUUUCCUGCAGUCCUGAACAGAAAGAUCUUUCUUUGUUUCUUUUUUUUUUAACAGUUCCUUAGCCUACGCACUCAUAAAGCUAUUUAAAAAUCCUCUUCUUUUACUGCUUAUUCUGUGACAAAUAAAAAAAAAAUCAAUUUUCA